GACGAACGCUGGCGGCGUGCCUAACACAUGUAAGUCGCACGGGACUGGAGGGCAACUUCCAGUUCAGUGGCAGACGGGUGCGUAACACGUGAGGAACCUGUCCGACGGCGGGGGAUAGCCGGCCCAACGGCCGGGUAAUACCGCAUACGAUCGUUCGGGGGCAUCCCUGAACGAGGAAAGCAGCCGCAAGGUUGCGCCGAUGGAGGGUCUCGCGGCCUAUCAGCUAGUUGGCGGGGUAAGGCCCACCAAGGCGACGACGGGUAGCUGGUCUGAGAGGAUGGCCAGCCACAUUGGGACUGAGACACGGCCCAGACUCCUACGGGAGGCAGCAGUGGGGAAUCUUGCGCAAUGGCCGCAAGGCUGACGCAGCGACGCCGCGUGUGGGAUGACGGCCU
rnacentral:rRNA from 1 species